rnacentral:rRNA from 1 species
CCUACGGGAGGCAGCAGUGAGGAAUAUUGGUCAAUGGACGGAAGUCUGAACCAGCCAAGUAGCGUGCAGGAUGACGGCCCUCCGGGUUGUAAACUGCUUUAGUUCGGGAAUAACGACGGGGACGUGUCCCCGGAAAGAAUGUACCGAAAGAAUAAGGACCGGCUAAUUCCGUGCCAGCAGCCGCGGUAAUACGGAAGGUCCAGGCGUUAUCCGGAUUUAUUGGGUUUAAAGGGAGCGUAGGCGGACUGUUAAGUCAGCGGUUAAAGAGUGUGGCUCAACCAUACGAUGCCGUUGAAACUGGUGGUCUUGAGUGCACACAGGGAUGCUGGAACUCGUGGUGUAGCGGUGAAAUGCUUAGAUAUCACGAUGAACUCCGAUCGCGAAGGCAGGUGUCCGGGGUGUAACUGACGCUGAGGCUCGAAAGUGUGGGUAUCAAACAGGAUUAGAUACCCUGGUAGUC